rnacentral:rRNA from 1 species
AAAACUUUCAACAACGGAUCUCUUGGUUCUGGCAUCGAUGAAGAACGCAGCGAAAUGCGAUAAGUAAUGUGAAUUGCAGAAUUCAGUGAAUCAUCGAAUCUUUGAACGCACAUUGCGCCCCCUGGUAUUCCGGGGGGCAUGCCUGUC